GAUGAACGCUGGCGGCGUGGAUAAGGCAUGCAAGUAGAACGCCCCGCAAGGGGAGUUGCAAACGAGGUAGUAACACGUAGGAACGAACCAAGAAGUCAGGAAUAACUCAUCGAAAGAUGAGCUAAUACUUGAUAGUCCCGAAAGGGUAAAGAUUUAUCGCUUCUUGAUCGGCCUGCGGGAUAUCAGCUAGUUGGUGAGGUAAUGGCUCACCAAGGCGAUGACGUCUAGAGGAGCUGAGAGGCUGACCCUCACCGAUGGUACUGCGACACGGACCAUACACCUACGGGUGGCUGCAGUCGAGAAUCUUCCGCAAUGGGCGCAAGCCUGACGGAGCGACGCCGCGUGAUUGAUGAAGUCUUUCGGGAUGUAAAGAUCUUUUAUGGGGGAGGACGUUAUCGACGGUACCCCAUGAAUAAGGAGCUGCCAAUCUCGUG
rnacentral:rRNA from 1 species